rnacentral:snRNA from 1 species
AUUAUUUUGAUUCAAGAC